rnacentral:lncRNA from 1 species
UCUUAGUUCUUGUUCAUCCCCCUUGUUCUGCAUGAUGUCUAGUCCACUGAUGACUUUAGCAGCCCCAAUCACUAUCCAUGAAAUGGGUCCUGUAUCAUGCAAUGUGCAUCAGUGAAUGUCAAAUGAUGCUUACCAGUCUUAGUAAGUGCACUAGAUAUCAAAUUGUAUUUGAAAGAUGGGGCACAUGACAUCUUGCAGUGUGGGUAAUACUAGAUGAACAGUUCCUAUGUGUAAAACAGUGAACUUUGUUUUAUUUGUUAAUUGAACAAAUACAUUAUGAGAAGAUUUAUAUGAAGAGAAAUGAUUUAGGGUACAAGCUAUAUGAUCAGUAGCACCAGUAUCCAAUAUCCAGGAAUUAUAAUUGAAAUUAAAAUCAUUUUCAUUUUGUGUUUGGCUAACAAGAACAUGAAUGCAAAGACAAUUUUGAUUGGAAAAAGUACCUCUGUGAUGAAUUGAUUAGUGGGAGUUUGGUAGGCUGAUUGCUUUUUGUGACAUGAUCAUAUGCACCAGUUGAAGUAUGCUCACUGAUAAGAGCUUUAAGCUUCUGAACUUUAUC